ACGAUGAAGACCGGUGCUUGCACUGGUUGGAUUAGUGGCGAACGGGUGAGUAAUACGUGAGUAACCUGCCUUUGACUCUGGGAUAAGCCUUGGAAACGAGGUCUAAUACCGGAUAUGACACAGUUUCGCAUGAAAUCUGUGUGGAAAGGGUUUGUACUGGUUUUAGAUGGGCUCACGGCCUAUCAGCUUGUUGGUGAGGUAAUGGCUCACCAAGGCGACGACGGGUAGCCGGCCUGAGAGGGUGACCGGCCACACUGGGACUGAGACACGGCCCAGACUCCUACGGGAGGCAGCAGUGGGGAAUAUUGCACAAUGGGCGCAAGCCUGAUGCAGCGACGCCGCGUGAGGGAUGACGGCCUUCGGGUUGUAAACCUCUUUCAGCAGGGGAGAAGCGAAAGUGACGGUACCUGCAGAAGAAGCGCCGGCUAACUACGUGCCAGCAGCCGCGGUAAUACGUAGGGCGCGAGCGUUGUCCGGAAUUAUUGGGCGUAAAGAGCUUGUAGGCGGUUUGUCGCGUCUGCUGUGAAAGCCCGGGGCUUAACUCCGGGUUUGCAGUGGGUACGGGCUAACUAGAGUGCAGUAGGGGAGACUGGAAUUCCUGGUGUAGCGGUGGAAUGCGCAGAUAUCAGGAGGAACACCGAUGGCGAAGGCAGGUCUCUGGGCUGUAACUGACGCUGAGAAGCGAAAGCAUGGGGAGCGAACAGGAUUAGAUACCCUGGUAGUCCAUGCCGUAAACGUUGGGCACUAGGUGUGGGGGACAUUCCACGUUUUCCGCGCCGUAGCUACGCAUUAAGUGCCCCGCCUGGGGAGUAC
rnacentral:rRNA from 1 species